CAGCAGCCGCGGUAAUACGAAGGGGGCUAGCGUUGCUCGGAAUCACUGGGCGUAAAGGGUGCGUAGGCGGGUCUUUAAGUCAGGGGUGAAAUCCUGGAGCUCAACUCCAGAACUGCCUUUGAUACUGAAGAUCUUGAGUUCGGGAGAGGUGAGUGGAACUGCGAGUGUAGAGGUGAAAUUCGUAGAUAUUCGCAAGAACACCAGUGGCGAAGGCGGCUCACUGGCCCGAUACUGACGCUGAGGCACGAAAGCGUGGGGAGCAAACAGGAUUAGAUACCCCCGUAGUCCCUGUCUCUUAUAA
rnacentral:rRNA from 1 species